rnacentral:rRNA from 1 species
CUCAGGAUGAACGCUGGCGGCGUGCUUAACACAUGCAAGUCGAACGAUGAUCCCAGCUUGCUGGGGGAUUAGUGGCGAACGGGUGAGUAACACGUGAGUAACCUGCCCUUAACUCUGGGAUAAGCCUGGGAAACUGGGUCUAAUACCGGAUAUGACUCCUCAUCGCAUGGUGGGGGGUGGAAAGCUUUAUUGUGGUUUUGGAUGGACUCGCGGCCUAUCAGCUUGUUGGUGAGGUAAUGGCUCACCAAGGCGACGACGGGUAGCCGGCCUGAGAGGGUGACCGGCCACACUGGGACUGAGACACGGCCCAGACUCCUACGGGAGGCAGCAGUGGGGAAUAUUGCACAAUGGGCGAAAGCCUGAUGCAGCGACGCCGCGUGAGGGAUGACGGCCUUCGGGUUGUAAACCUCUUUCAGUAGGGAAGAAGCGAAAGUGACG